GUCAGGAUGGCCGAGCGGUCUAAGGCGCCAGACUCAAGGACUCUCCCUUGCCCGAUCGACCCGGGUUCGAGUGUUCUGGUCCUCGUCUGAGGGCGUGGGUUCAAAUCCCACUUCUGACA
rfam:Hordeum vulgare subsp. vulgare, WGS project CAJW01000000 data, contig: morex_contig_223436